rnacentral:rRNA from 1 species
UACGAAGGGGGCUAGCGUUGCUCGGAAUCACUGGGCGUAAAGGGUGCGUAGGCGGGUCUUUUAAGUCAGGGGUGAAAUCCUGGAGCUCAACUCCAGAACUGCCUUUGAUACUGAGGAUCUUGAGUUCGGGAGAGGUGAGUGGAACAGCUAGUGUAGAGGUGAAAUUCGUAGAUAUUCGCAAGAACACCAGUGGCGAAGGCGGCUCACUGGCCCGAUACUGACGCUGAGGCACGAAAGCGUGGGGAGCAAACAGG